rnacentral:tRNA from 1 species
GCCUUCGUAGUGUAGUGGUCAGCACGCUGGACGAGGAAUCGAGAGGUCCGUGGUUCGAUUCUCGUGAUGGCG